AAUAAGUAGAAACCAACAUGGCCGCGACUAGCGUGGUGCGAACUGUGAAGUGUUGUCGCAUUUCUUAAGAUUUGUCGUUGUAUCGUUCUUUUAACUAUCUGUGACUUAUUUUCAUUGCACUGAAUAACUCCCAAGAUGUAAUUUCAUCCAGUCUUUCAGUAACUUUAAGCUUAGAAAAUUGCCAGUGGAACAUGUGAUUAGGAGCAAGAGUUGGAAUGAAGAAUAGUUCAACAGGCCUACAAGUGUCCAUGGAUACCUUUUAUAUUUCAGAUGGACAACUCUGACAACAAGGAUUUUUUGGGAGUUGCUGUUGAUUUCUAUCUCCGACACAAUUUCUCAGAAAUUAAUUACUUGAUACACCAGUCUUCAAUGAAUAUAGUAUUGACGUAUAUGACCGAGUGGUUAACACGUCGGGAAUGUGAGAAUUAGCGGCUCCGGAGGAGGCCACAACGAGGACGAUUUGGGUCACUCGGCGAAUCCAUGGCUCGAUUUUCAGAUUUUGUUGAAUUAGAAAGUGAAAGACAACAAAUUUCUGCCUUACUUGGUAUUUUCGCGUUGAAAUAUUUUUUCUCGAUUAGUAGAUUUGAUAAAUAACAACGGCAAUACCGAUAAACCCUUGGCAUUCAUUUGUUCCCGAUGAACGGCACUAUCUAUUACCCAUUAAAAAUGUAGGUAAUUCACUAUUAACCUUUUAUAACAAGAUAAAAGCUUUUUAAGGUGAAUAAAAACAAUAAGAUGAGGAAUGCGGAUCAAAAACAGUGUUGGAGUAAAAUGUUGGAUUUGUCAUUGAAGUUGGAUAGAAAGGAGAAGAGUAAUCCCAGUUGUUCCAGUAGUAGGAGGAAUAGUCUUGCUGCUGUGGUUGCUGCUCCGUUCGGAAUCCAUUCGAGUUAUUGAAGUUGGACUGGGGACUUACGACGUGUUGUGGACAGCUGGUAGCAAGCCAUUCGGAUUGAAGUGGAGACGACGAUGAUGAUCCGGACGUGGAGUAGUUGAUUGGUUCCACGGGUGGAACUGACGGAGGAUCCGAAUAAAAUCCAGGAGUUGGAAGGACUUGAGUUGAAACGGACGUACCAUGUUGACGUUGGCGAGAGACGUAAGGUGAUGAUCGACGAUGUUGGCGAUUUGUUUCGCAAGUUGAAGUUGCCGUUCUUGAAGAUCCAAGUUGGCGGACACGCCGACGGCGAUUCUGAAACCACCACUGAUGCAAUCAAGAGGAAAAAUUAAUUUCAGAAACUCCAAUCAGCUGGGCGAUGCGUCGACGACUUUCUCGAUUGGGAAACGGAUCUCUGUUGAAUUCUGCGUCGAGUACCUCCAGCUGGACCUCGUCGUAAAAGUGGCGCUGACGACCUGAUGCUGAAGCAGACUUCGUAGUGAAACCAACUGGAUAAUAAUCUGAAAAUUAUCCAGGCGGAAGUACUCAAUGGUCAUUGCUGUCCAGGAUCAACAGCUUAUUGGAAGAUUUUUUUAGGUAUUAACCUUGCGGUGUUUCUUCUCGUCUUUGCCAGCAUCAGAUAAUCCAAAAUAUCCAGCCAGCUCAGCGUUUGACUUCUCAAAGGCUUCGUUUUCACCUUCCUCCCGCGGCAAAACCAUUCGGUGCCGUAAGUUAGGACUACAGUGACCCAACGACACCAGCCCCUUGAAGGUGGUAGAACGAGCUUAUCGCCGCUAAAGUGCAGCUAUAGAAAAUUUCAUGGCCAAGACGAACCUGCCGCCACACCGGCACUUCCUCGAUGGUAUAAGAAGCCAGUUAUUGCAGAACGAAGUAGUUUAUAAGCUUUCCGGAUCCAGGUGCCAGGGGUGUCUGUACUGACGUAGUGACGUCACAUAGACUUGCUGAAGGUCUCCGUUUAUUUCUCUGACCAAGUUUAUCGUUUAUGUUUCCGUAGUUGCUGUCCGAUGUGGGACGUUGUUGCAGCCAAUACUGGUGAAAGAUCUUUUUGCAUCAUAUUAAACUGGCUGUUCCUUGGUGCUGGUGUCGUGUUACCGAAGUUGCAUCAUUAUUUUGUUUAAUUGUUAUUGGGUCUGCAGUUUAUCGUUUACAUGUUAAGAGGGAACAAACACAGAAAUAUGAGUAAUUCAUGUCAAACAAAUAAUAAACAUGCUUUGGGGAUUGGGAAAGGAAUGUAGAGGAUGUUGGGAAUUU